UUUAAAAAGGUCGCUUCUCUUGCCAUGUAACAAUUUAUAUUAAACCAUCUCUCAGUUCUGGAGAAAUUGAUGAAGCCUUUUGAGCAAGCCUUAUGGGUGUCUUUUAUUAAUUUUCCUAUAUCAGUAAAGUUCCACUGCAUCCGACUUUACAGACACGCAACAUUUUGCUACAUCACUGGUUGGACACAUGAGAAUUCGAAUGAACUCUGGAAAUGUAUUAGAUAUGGAGGUAGAGCUGGCAAAAUAUCGAUGGCACUAUCGAUAUUUAAAUUUUUGACUGAAUAUCGAUUGGUAUUUUUCCGAUGGAUACUAUCGCAAAAGUUUAAUUUUUUGCAAAACAAAACAAAAACAAGCAAACAAGGAAAAUUAAUAAGAACUGUUAUGCUAUUGGAGCUAUAUCAAGUUAUAGUCCGAUUCGGACCAUUAAUGAAUGCUGAACAUUGUAGAAGUCAUUGUGUAAUAUUUCAGUUCAUUCGGAUAAGAAUUGCGCCUUGUAUGAGCUCAAUUAGCAAAAUCGGGACAUAGGUUUAUAUGGGAGCUGUUUCAAGCUAUUGAUCGAUUCUGACCAUAUUAGACACGUAUGUUGAAGGUAAUGGAAAAUUAACGAAAGUAUCAAUACCAUCGAUAUUAUAUGGAGGUCGCUGGAUUUUCUAUGUUAGUGAUAAUCAUUGACAAAUUUUGCUUAUUUAAAUUAGAUGACGUUCUAAUAAAGGCUUCAUUCGUAUCAAUA